rnacentral:rRNA from 1 species
UUAAGAAUCUUGCGCAAUGGGGGCAACCCUGACGCAGCGACGCCGCGUGAAGGAUGAAGGCCCUCGGGUUGUAAACUUCAAUAGACAGGGAAGAAUUUUGACGGUACCUGUCGCCAGCACCGGCUAAAUACGUGCCAGCAGCCGCGGUAAUACGUAUGGUGCAAGCGUUGUUCGGAUUUACUGGGCGUAAAGAGCGCGCAGGCGGAUUGUUAAGACGGGUGUGAAAUCUCCGGGCUCAACCCGGAGGCUGCACCCGAAACUGGCAAUCUGGAGUCCUGGAGAGGCAGACGGAAUACUUGGUGUAGCGGUGAAAUGCGUAAAUAUCAAGUGGAACACCGAUGGCGAAGGCAGUCUGCUGGACAGUGACUGACGCUGAGGCGCGAAAGCGUGGGGAGCAAACAGGAUUAGAUACCCCGGUAGUCC